UCCCAGGUGGCUCAGCGGUAAAGUACCUGCCUCCAAUGUAGGAGAUAGAGGAGACGCAGGUUUGAUCCCUGGGUUGGGAA
rnacentral:tRNA from 1 species